ensembl:lncRNA
AUGAAGGAACCCACAGGUGCGCCUACCAAGCACACGCCAGCCCGAGCUUGAACACAGGCCAAAAGCCCAGCCCUGGCGUCUGGCUGGCAGGAGCAGUCACCUUGCUGAAGCAGAUAUUCUGCUGGAUGCUGCUGCCUGCAAGCUGACGCUUCCUCCAGCCUCGGUUCUGGAUCCAUCCCCGCCUCCAUCAGACGCCCCUCCUCCAGGAUACAUAAAGGGUAGACUGACCCAGGAAGCAAGUCCAAAUGGGGCAGCUUAACUCCUACAGGCCCCUCCAAACCCGGCCUAGGCACCCCCCAACACCAGGACAGGAAUGUGAAGGGGCAGGAGCAGCGGCAGACCUCUUCCCAGCGCAGAGAGCAACGUUAUUGCCAGCAGCCUGUAGCAGCGCUAGGGCGUCCCGGAGGCCGGCCCUAUUGAUGGCAGAGAUGUUUCAGGAGAAGGGAAUUUCAAGCAAGAGGAGGCGGUCCUUUAUUUUUAAAACCACUGCUUGAGAAAGAUCAGUGAGACGAGGUUAAGCAAGAUGGGAGAGAAACAAAAUGCUCUGACACGCUCUCCAGGAGUCAUGACAGGGAGGACAUGACAGGCCGACCCAGAACCCUCUGGGGAACCCGGCCACAUGGGAAGCUGUGAGAGUCAGGAGGUGACAGGCCCCGGGGUAACUAGUGCUAUCUAGUCAUCCUAAGGGUGUGCCUUCAAAGACUCUGAACCCCCAACACCGGAGCACCAUGAUCUCUUGGCAUGCACACCCCGAGGUGCAGCGGAUGCAGGAAUCAAGCCUGGCACUUUGCUUCUGAGAAGGGUGGCAGUCGGAGGAGGAACCACGAAGACCAUGUGCUUGCCUGGCGCAGAGCUUGGCGGCAGGGUCCAGGCCCUUCCUGUCCUCUGCUCCUAUGAGUCACCGUUCCCCAAAUACCCACAGGUGACACUGUCCCUGUCCAUCAACCUUCACUGAGAUGCUUUGACUUCAACGCCUGGGAAACGAGAAUAAGCCACUGACAGCAGGGACAUCCUUUGAGGCCCCCAGACACUGUUCAACCUCCCGGUCUUAAUGAUCUGAGGCCAGGAGCUAUAGGGGAAAAAAAAAAUCUCUCACCUGGACAGCCCAUCUCACACCAAAUUUCCACACUGAACUACCAAGGCCACCAAGGUUCUCACAAUCCUGGAAGCUGGGAGUCCAAGAUCAAAGCACCCUAGAUCCAGCGUCUGGUGAGAGGGUGAAAGCCCUCCUCCUGGUUCAUAGAUGGCGUCUUCUCACCGUGUCCUUACAUGAAAAAGGAAAGGAAGGAGGCGGAGAGAGAGGCUUCUCUGAAUCCACUGAGUCCACUGGUCUUUGAAGCCACUACCCUGUUUUUUCCUUCUUACCUUCAUUAUCCAAUUCAUUUACUCAAAAAUGGGCUUCAUUUUCUGCCUCAGCUGCCUCUCGUUUCUAAGCUCCUCACCACCACCCACUGCUUCCUGAGAAGGGGCCGGUACUCUCCUCCUGGCCGCUACAGUUUCGCAUACAUUUGGGCAUCACCCAAGUGCCUGCCCAGCUGAAACCCCUCCUCCCAGCUACACCUUCUCCUGUGGCUCUUCUCUCUGUAUCUCCCAGGCAUCUUUGCCUUCCUUCCUCUUUUUUCCCCUCAACAUCAAUGUCUCCUCUGGCUCCAAACAUCUCUCCUUGGAAAAUGCCUCUCAGAUCUCAUUUCUAACUCUGCCAUGUGACUUUCAACAAGCAACCCUCUGCGGGGGUCUUCAGGUCUCUCAUAUUGGAUACCCUACCACCUAAAGCUGAGCUCUUGCUCUCUGCAGAUGGGCCUUCUUUCCUGCUGUCAUUGUCGCCACGAGGAAAGCCACCAUCCUCCAGCUUCUGUGUCCCUGGAAUCCUCUUUAUGCUCCACAACCAGCUCUUCAUCAGCAUCUUCCAGUUGUUCCUAUGAUGCUUUCCUCAUACCCACUUCACUUCCCCGGCCCUCACCCCAAACCAGGCCCUCUUCAUCCCAUCCACAGGCAAAAGAAACACACUUCUCGAGCUGGGAGGAAUCAGUUAACCCAGCCCUUCAUGUAACAGAUAAGGAAACAGAGGCUCAGAGAGGAGGGACAUGUGCCCAUGACCUCAAGCUGUGUAGAGUCAGGUCUGGAAUUUGGGUCUCCUGGCCUUUCCACUGCCCUGCAGACAAGCCACACAGCAGCCCAGCCCCUCACAUGGCCCUUACAGCCACUUGCGACACUCUGGAAUGUUUGCCCAUCUCGGCCCCAGGGUGGACCAGCAGUCACACUUUGGUUUCUGUUGCUUGCCAUUAAAGAGUCUUAAGUAAUUCACCACCCACCUCAACCAAACACACACACAUACACACACAAACCUAUUAAAGGUGGAUCUUACUUUAUCUCAGGUCCCUGUACAGGUUUGCCUCUGCCAAAGGUGUACAUGAAUGUUGUCUGUUCACCUCUCAGGAGAUUUGCAGCUCCCCACCCUGCCCACCAGUCUUCUCCACAGUGACUUCACAGACAGCGUGUCACUCCCGCAAAGAUGACCUGCUCCAGACAUAUCAAUGGGCUUAUCAUCUUAUAAUAUUUAUUUAGCUGUGUCAGGGUGCAGUUGUGGCCCGUGGGAUCUUUCAUGUAGCGCACAGGCUUCUCCCUAGUUGUGCCCUGGGGCUCUAGAGCACAUGCUCAGUGGUUGCGGCAUGCAGGCUUAGCUGCCCAUGGCAUAUGGGAUCUUAGUUCCCCUGCGUGGGGUCGAACCCCUGUCCCCUGCAUUAAGAGGUGGAUUCUUAACCACUGGACCACCAGGGAAUUCCCUGGGCUUAUCAAUUCUUGUCCAGAUCCUGCUUCCGCACUUUUGCAAAUACCAUUUUCCCUUCUGCAGUACCCCCGCCUUCUCCUCUCCAGCAUUCUGUGUCCCUGGGUGGCUCCAAACCCUGCCCAGGUUAAUUUUCCGUGAAAAGUCUUUCCUGGUGAGCUUCAUCCAGAUCUAAACUGCACCUCCAGCCCCAUCCCCAACUCAGCUCACUACCUCCCCCGCUGCAGAGACCUAGCUCGUGAAAAUGCACUCAGUGAUGGGAAUUCUCUGUUAUGUAUUUUCUGCAAUGUGCAGUACCUUCCUGAUGGUCUGUAAGCUCCUCUACAAGGGAGACAGUGCACGUGUUCUAUUCCUGUCCCCUCCCUCCAGCAUCUGGUGCGGCACUUUCCACGUCAUA